UCCAAUGAUGGCAUGGAAUCUUUGAGACCUGAUCAAUACUUUGUUUGAUGACAACUAUAAGCAAAAUUACUGAGGAU
rfam:Corchorus capsularis cultivar CVL-1 contig15190, whole genome shotgun sequence.